ACGAACGAGAUCAAUCGUGAUGGACGGACCAUAUCAACAGAGAAUAGUUAUAAAUACUUCACAUCACGCGAGAACCUAAACCCUAGCCGCUAGGCCCUGCCGGAGAAGAAGAACCAAACGCCGGAUAAGGAGGCUAACUACCGAUCGCCGCUACACCGGAGCCACCAUCGAUAACUAAAAAAGGUAAAAAUUUCUCCUACCCGCUCGGAAUUCGAUUCCGAGUACCCUGUGGCCAAAUCGGAGUAAGAGGGAUGGUGGGUGAGCCGAAAACUGCGGGCAAAGCCCAGUGGAGCCGCCACG
rnacentral:lncRNA from 1 species